AUGUUGAAAACUAUCUUUACAUGUAUUUAGAAAAAUAAAACACUACUAGUUAUAACCCACCCAACCCCCAACCAUCUCAAGGAUUGUCUACCUGUAUUAUCAGCAUAAUAUCUGGCACAAAGUAGAUACUAGAUAAAUAUUGCUAAUUAUUAACAUGGAAAGGUAAAUGCAGGAAUUACUAAGCUGCUUCUCUGAACCCAUCUCUUCCUCCUCCCCUUCUCAAUACCCCCCAACUCCCCUCCCCCACUUUAUAUUUAUUUCAAAACUUUAAGGAUCCAGAAUCUUGUCAGCAUGGGCAAUUGCGAAUCCACCCACGUGGAUCACAAUGUUUUUAUGACUUAACAAAUAAACUUCAAGAACCAACGUGGAUCAAGAAGUUCAUCCAGUGGACAAACUUUGGUGAUAAGUCUUUCCAAAUUUAGCCAGGCUGAUCCUCAGAUAAGAAGUACAAUCCUACUCAAAACCUCUUUAGGAUUGGUAGGACCUGACGAUACUUGAUCUGUACCUGAUGUCACCUUCGCAUCAAGAAGAGACACUGAAAAAGGACCAAUGGAGGUUUCUGCUUUACCCACAUUGGAAAAUAAAAAAUAUGUCCAUCAAAGUUGAUCCUGAAGAAGAGGGGAGAGAAUGCACCUUACUCCUUUCUCUCCAAGGAUGGAGGACUUCAGGUAUGGCACACUACUUACAUCUUAACUGAUUUGCUCACUCUUUGUUAUGAUGGAUAAUUUUCUGGGUAGGAAAGUAGGGAGGAAAUGUCAAAACAAAGAUAUCAAUAAAAA